CUUAUUUUCUAGGUUCCGUAGGUUUUUUUCAGGGCUCAACCGAUUUUCAUUGAGCACAUUAUUUUGUAAUGUGCACGUGAUGCGCUUUCAUUUGAGACCCCAUUAGAUUAUAUUUGCAUACAUUCGGUUAUUCUUCCUCACUUUAACCCCCCACAACUUUUAAACGACUCAACCGAUUUUCAUCAAACAUAUCUAAAAACACUCGCCCGUAACUCACAUUAAAU